rnacentral:rRNA from 1 species
UACGGAGGGUGCAAGCGUUAUCCGGAUUCACUGGGUUUAAAGGGUGCGUAGGCGGAUUGGUAAGUCCGUGGUGAAAUCCCCGAGCUUAACUCGGGAACUGCCGUGGAUACUAUCAGUCUUGAAUAUCGUGGAGGUAAGCGGAAUAUGUCAUGUAGCGGUGAAAUGCUUAGAUAUGACAUAGAACACCAAUUGCGUAGGCAGCUUACUACUCGAUCAUUGACGCUGAGGCACGAAAGCGUGGGGAGCAAACAGG